CUAGUAUAAGCAAUUAUACAGCGAAACUGCGAAUGGCUCAUUAAAUCAGUUAUCGUUUAUUUGAUAGUACCUUACUACUUGGAUAACCGUGGUAAUUCUAGAGCUAAUACAUGCUAAAAACCCCGACUCACGAAGGGGUGUAUUUAUUAGAUUAAAAACCAAUGCCCUUCGGGGCUCUUUGGUGAUUCAUAAUAACUUUUCGAAUCGCAUGGCCUUGCGCCGGCGAUGGUUCAUUCAAAUUUCUGCCCUAUCAACUUUCGAUGGCAGGGUCUUGGCCUGCCAUGGUUACAACGGGUAACGGAGGGUUAGGGCUCGACCCCGGAGAAGGAGCCUGAGAAACGGCUACUACAUCCAAGGAAGGCAGCAGGCGCGCAAAUUACCCAAUCCCGAUUCGGGGAGGUAGUGACAAUAAAUACUGAUACAGGGCUCUUUUGGGUCUUGUAAUUGGAAUGAGUACAAUUUAAAUCCCUUAACGAGGAACAAUUGGAGGGCAAGUCUGGUGCCAGCAGCCGCGGUAAUUCCAGCUCCAAUAGCGUAUAUUAAAGUUGUUGCAGUUAAAAAGCUCGUAGUUGAACCUUGGGCCUGGCUGGCCGGUCCGCCUCACCGCGUGCACUGGUUCGGCCGGGCCUUUCCCUCUGGGGAACCUCAUGGUCUUCACUGAUCGUGAUGGGGAACCAGGACUUUUACUGUGAAAAAAUUAGAGUGUUCAAAGCAGGCCUAUGCUCGAAUACAUUAGCAUGGAAUAAUAAAAUAGGACGUGUGGUUCUAUUUUGUUGGUUUCUAGGACCGCCGUAAUGAUUAAUAGGGACAGUCGGGGGCAUCAGUAUUCAAUUGUCAGAGGUGAAAUUCUUGGAUUUAUUGAAGACUAACUACUGCGAAAGCAUUUGCCAAGGAUGUUUUCAUUAAUCAGGAACGAAAGUUAGGGGAUCGAAGACGAUCAGAUACCGUCGUAGUCUUAACCAUAAACUAUGCCGACUAGGGAUCGGACGGUGUUACUUAUUGACCCGUUCGGCACCUUACGAGAAAUCAAAGUCUUUGGGUUCU
rnacentral:rRNA from 1 species